CUUGAAAGAGAUAUAGACAGACUCAUAAAGACGUGGUCCUCUUGGCUGAGGUGCUGGAGUCAAAGACAAAACAGGGAAUUGUUGGAAAAGUUCAAGCCUGGCUGGGCCAGGUGCGCCACACUCCUGUCUUCUGAGCAAACUCGAAGACCUCUCUGAGGCUGAGCUAACUCGCCUAAGUGCAUAGACCUGGGUCUAAUAGGCUACACCUCCGCCACUAGUCCGUGACUCCUUCGCCUCGCCCAAGAAGAAUCACCCCACCAUAUGUCUAGCCAAUAAGAUAUGGCCCGAUGUUCUCCACUAAUGUAUGAAUCUGCAUAACCUAUAAGAAAGUGCCAUGUAAUCAAAUGCUCCUCCCAUGCUCCUCCCCCACGGUGGGGGGGCACACAGAAGCUAUAUAAGCCUGUGCAUUUCCUAAAUAAAGCGGAAGCGUUUCAGAAACCUGCCCCGAGUCUGCCUGCUGAUUCUGCACCACAACGUGGGCCUCAUGUAUACUGGCGUCGGCCCCUCCCUUGGACACCCCACUUCCUGCCACUGACAAGCCUCCACCAAAAGCCCCGCGUCACCGGAAGCAACACCACCCCGAUGAACCUGCCUUUUCCGGGCCCCCACCAUGCGCGCCGCCACCUUACCGAUCUCAUGAUUCCUCAAGCUCCAAGGAAGCAGGGAGAUGUGGCCGUGAGAGGGAGGCCCAGCGAUGAAACCCCUGGGCAGAAGCCGUGUGAGCCCCA
rnacentral:lncRNA from 1 species